UACUAAAGUCAGGCAUGAAACGCAAGGUC
rnacentral:piRNA from 1 species